rnacentral:tRNA from 1 species
GGGCACGUAGCUCAGCCCGGACCAGAGCGUCGGACUUCUAAUCCGACGGUCGUGGGUUCAAAUCCCACCGUGCCCG